rnacentral:rRNA from 1 species
AUUGAACGCUGGCGGCAGGCCUAACACAUGCAAGUCGAACGAGUGGCGUACGGGUGAGUAAUGUCUGGGAAACUGCCCGAUGGAGGGGGAUAACUACUGGAAACGGUAGCUAAUACCGCAUACCAUCGGAUGUGCCCAGAUGGGAUUAGCUAGUAGGUGGGGUAACGGCUCACCUAGGCGACGAUCCCUAGCUGGUCUGAGAGGAUGACCAGCCACGCUGGACCGGGGACACGGUCCAGACCCCUACGGAGGGCAGCAGUGGGAAAUAUUGCACAAUGGGGGCAAGCCGGAUGCAGCCAUGCGGGGUGUAGGAAGAGGGCCUUGGGGUUGUAAAGUACUUUCAGGGAGGAGGCGUUACUCGCAGAGGAGGCACCGGCUAACUCGGUGCCAGCAGCCGCGGUAAAC